rnacentral:ncRNA from 1 species
CGAAACGUGAUGAUAGGAAAUAGUAACAACGUGGCCUUCUACAGAGAACUGGUGGGUGGUGCAAACCAGUGAAGGAGCGUUGCCAAUCCAUCCUUGAGCAGAUAUGCCGAAAGGACAAGUAAGCAUAUCCGGUGCUGACGCAUCGUUACUGAAAAGUAAGCCGGAAGGUGAUUUAUGCCUUCAAUAAGGGUGGCAUCGCGGGAAUAUACAAACUCUCGUCCCUAAU